rnacentral:rRNA from 1 species
AUUGAACGCUGGCGGCAGGCCUAACACAUGCAAGUCGAACGGUAACAGGAAACAGCUUGCUGUUUCGCUGACGAGUGGCGGACGGGUGAGUAAUGUCUGGGAAACUGCCUGAUGGAGGGGGAUAACUACUGGAAACGGUAGCUAAUACCGCAUAACGUCGCAAGACCAAAGAGGGGGACCCUCGGGCCUCUUGCCAUCGGAUGUGCCCAGAUGGGAUUAGCUUGUUGGUGGGGUAACGGCUCACCAAGGCGACGAUCCCUAGCUGGUCUGAGAGGAUGACCAGCCACACUUGAACUGAGAAACGGUCCAGACUCCUACGGGAGGCAGCAGUGGGGAAUAUUGCACAAUGGGCGCAAGCCUGAUGCAGCCAUGCCGCGUGUAUGAAGAAGGCCUUCGGGUUGUAAAGUACUUUCAGCGGGGAGGAAGGGAGUAAAGUUAAUACCUUUGCUCAUUGACGUUACCCGCAGAAGAAGCACCGGCUAACUCCGU